AUAGACGCAACUUUAUAGAUUGUUUUGAAGAGGGCCAAAACGUUGCUCUUCAAGAGUUGCUUCUUAUCUUUAAUCCGUGAACGAGUGUUUUACCAAAUUAUCAUCUUCUCUUCUACUUGAUCAUUAGAUUGUCGACGCUGCUACUAUUCUGUUUUCCUUACUAAAUCCAUGGCGAAAUCUAUCUUGGCGAAAAUAUUUUGUAAGUUACAUAGCAGAAAACCCUCAUAUCUGUAGAAACUUUCUCAUAUUCCCCCUUCGCUUUGUUUCUCCACUGGUUCUUUGAUAUGUUUACCUUGAUCGGUUUCUAAAUCUACUUCUACAAUUUAUCUUUGAAGUUAAAUAUUUCUGCGAAUUGUUAUAAUUUAAAGAUGAUUAUAGAUUAAUUGACUUUGAAUUUUUUUGGGCUUUGAUUUCUUUAUUUCUUUGUUGCCUUUUGGUUUAGCCGAGAAUAAUAAAUUGGAUUCUUCUGCCAAUAAGGAAUUAUACUAAAGUAAUCUGACUUAUGGC
rnacentral:lncRNA from 1 species